UACAGAGGGUGCGAGCGUUAAUCGGAAUUACUGGGCGUAAAGCGUGCGUAGACGGCUAUCUAAGUCGGGUGUGAAAGCCCCGGGCUCAACCUGGGAAUUGCAUUCGAGACUGAAUAGCUAGGGUACGGUAGAGGGAAGUGGAAUUUCCGGUGUAGCGGUGAAAUGCGUAGAUAUCGGAAGGAACAUCAGUGGCGAAAGCGGUUCUCUGGGCCUGUACUGACGCUGAGGAACGAAAGCGUGGGGAGCGAACAGG
rnacentral:rRNA from 1 species